rnacentral:rRNA from 1 species
CCUACGGGUGGCUGCAGUGGGGAAUAUUGCACAAUGGGCGCAAGCCUGAUGCAGCCAUGCCGCGUGUGUGAAGAAGGCCUUCGGGUUGUAAAGCACUUUCAGCGGGGAGGAAGGCGGUGAGGUUAAUAACCUCAUCGAUUGACGUUACCCGCAGAAGAGGCACCGGCUAACUCCGUGCCAGCAGCCGCGGUAAUACGGAGGGUGCAAGCGUUAAUCGGAAUUACUGGGCGUAAAGCGCACGCAGGCGGUCUGUCAAGUCGGAUGUGAAAUCCCCGGGCUCAACCUGGGAACUGCAUUCGAAACUGGCAGGCUAGAGUCUUGUAGAGGGGGGUAGAAUUCCAGGUGUAGCGGUGAAAUGCGUAGAGAUCUGGAGGAAUACCGGUGGCGAAGGCGGCCCCCUGGACAAAGACUGACGCUCAGGUGCGAAAGCGUGGGGAGCAAACAGGAUUAGAUACCCUUGUAGUC